rnacentral:rRNA from 1 species
AGGACGAACGCUGGCGGCGUGCUUAACACAUGCAAGUCGAACGGCAGCACAGGGGAGCUUGCUCCCUGGGUGGCGAGUGGCGGACGGGUGAGGAAGACGUCGGAAUCUGCCUAUUUGUGGGGGAUAACGUAGGGAAACUUACGCUAAUACCGCAUACGACCUACGGGUGAAAGCGGAGGACCUUCGGGCUUCGCGCAGAUAGAUGAGCCGACGUCGGAUUAGCUAGUUGGCGGGGUAAAGGCCCACCAAGGCGACGAUCCGUAGCUGGUCUGAGAGGAUGAUCAGCCACACUGGAACUGAGACACGGUCCAGACUCCUACGGGAGGCAGCAGUGGGGAAUAUUGGACAAUGGGCGCAAGCCUGAUCCAGCCAUGCCGCGUGUGUGAAGAAGGCCUUCGGUUGUAAAGCACUUUAGUUCCGGAAAGAAAAGACACCGGUUAAGUAACCCUCGGUGUCAUGACGGUAACCGGAAGAAAGUAAAGACACCGGCUAACUUACGCGCCAGCAGCCG